AAAAGUGAAGACUUUCAGUUUGACUUCUCGCCGGCGAACACAAUGGAGGGAGAUCAAAAGGUGAAUUCCACUUCUCCGGCGCCGGAGCCGGAGAUGAUGAUCGAAGAAUGGAACGGAACUUCGUCGACAAAACUCACGAAGACGGCCACCAUAACUUCCACUUCUCAUUCUUCGAUCUCUAUCCAAAGAUCCAGUAACGCAUUCACUCAUAUCUCUCAAAGAAUUCUCCAAGCUUUCGUUCCUGAGGGGUAUCCAACUAGUGUUACUCCAGACUAUUUUCCUUUUCAAGUGUGGGAUUCAUUGCAGGGGCUUUCUACGUAUGUGCGGAUGAUGCUCUCUACACAAGCUCUUCUAAGUGCUAUAGGUGUUGGUGAGAAAUCGGCUACUGUUAUUGGGGCAACGUUUCAGUGGUUCUUGCGAGAUUUAACUGGAAUGCUUGGAGGUGUCUUGUUCACUUGUUACCAGGGUUCUAAUUUAGACAGCAAUGCCAAAAUGUGGCGUUU
rnacentral:misc_RNA from 1 species